rnacentral:rRNA from 1 species
UACGUAGGGUGCGAGCGUUAAUCGGAAUUACUGGGCGUAAAGCGUGCGCAGGCGGUUCGUGAUGUCUGGUGUGAAAGCCCCGGGCUUAACCUGGGAAUUGCAUUGGAAACUAGCGGGCUGGAGUGUGGCAGAGGGGGGUGGAAUUCCACGUGUAGCAGUGAAGUGCGUAGAGAUGUGGAGGAACACCGAUGGCGAAGGCAGCCCCCUGGGCUAACACUGACGCUCAUGCACGAAAGCGUGGGGAGCAAACAGG